AAAUGGGGCAGAGUUCAGAGCAGGGAAGCAGUCUCAGCAUGCAAUCCUGUGUGUGUCAAGGGUUGUCACAAAAGCAAGACUGAUUCAUGGUUCCAUUCAUUCCUCUGGCCAUUCACGCUUCACUCCUUUAGCUCUCCCCAGUGUCAUCAGCAGGUCAGGAUCUGGACAGGCAGGGCAGCCUUGAGGAAUAGUACACAGACCUGCAGGACAAGUGAAGGUUGCACAGUCUUCAAGAUGGGGCUGGGAAGGUAUCGUCGACAAUCUGUGGGUGAUUUAUGGUCCCCUUCUGGAUGUUUUAUCAUUUGGAUUCUCUCCUGCACCCCCAGAGAUGGAGAGAGACAAGGAGAGAGCCUGUCACAAGGAAAGCCCUUCUCUGCCUUUGCCCGUACUCUUGCCA
rnacentral:lncRNA from 1 species